rnacentral:rRNA from 1 species
AGGGAAUAUUGCGCAAUGGACGGAAGUCUGACGCAGCGACGCCGCGUGAGCGAUGAAGGUCUUCGGAUCGUAAAGCUCUGUCCUUGGGGAAGAAGGUCUUCGGACUUGACGGUACCCAAGAAGAAAGCCCCGGCUAACUACGUGCCAGCAGCCGCGGUAAUACGUAGGGGGCGAGCGUUGUCCGGAAUUACUGGGCGUAAAGGGUGCGUAGGCGGCCCUCUAAGUCGGAUGUGAAAGCCCGCGGCUUAACCGCGGAAUGGCAUUCGAAACUGGAGGGCUUGAGUGUCGGAGAGGGUAGUGGAAUUUCUUGUGUAGGGUUGAAAUGCCUAGAUAUUGGAAGGAACACCACUGGAGGAGGCUACUACCUGGACUAUUACUGACGCUGAGGCACGAAAGCUAGGGGAGCAAACA